GUGAUUAGCUCAGCUGGGAGAGCACCUCCCUUACAAGGAGGGGGUCGGCGGUUCGAUCC
rnacentral:tRNA from 1 species